GAAUUCUAUCCUGAAUACUCCGUCUCCGACUCCGUAUCUCCGGCACUACAAGACCAUGAAAUACGACAGAGCUCCACGAAGAAGCCGAAAAACAGCGGCGACGAUGAUGAUGAUGAUGACGAUGACAAUGAUGAUGACGAGUCUCCAGUCAGUCGAGUCCUUUGCAGCGACUGAAGAGACGAAUGAAAAGUGUCUUCCAGAGUCGCCGAGGACACCUGCACCGACACGAUUCCUGUGCUCAGGUUUCCGAGGAAAGUCGUCCUGUCCUUGAACUGGACG